AAAAACAAGUCACAGAAGUGAUUGCAACGUGAGUGGUUGACAGUUGAAAAUAGCUCAAAAGCAAGUUCUGUAACAGAGAAAUGCUAUUUUGUACUGUUACAUUACUCUCAGACAGUGGAUUUAGGCGAUGUGAAGACAUGACAAUUAUCACCGCAUCCUUCUUGCAAAGGCAAACAUUUGCUUCAUUUCAGCAUAGACAGAAGUAAGAGAAAGGAAGCAAAGAUGGGCUUCCAGGCUCAGUAUUUGUCAACAGGUUUGCUGUUGGGAAUUUUCUACAUUACAGAUACAUCAAUUUUUCCAAAUCAAAGAUUUCUGCUUUUUCUGGCAGGCCUUCAUAGGAAGUCUUUGUAAGUCAUUAAGUAUUCUGACAGCCUGGCAAACAAGAUUCAGCACAACCAUUCCAUCUACCUCUUCCCUCUCCAUGCAAAUCACAGUGUCCUCCGAGAUUUUCAGUCCUUACAAAGUCUAACUCUUCUGUUUAUCAGGCUAAGUUUAGGUAUGUUCCUAGCAAGAUGUCCUGCAGCAAGAGAUGUAUUAAGAACUAGAUUCAACAAACUUUGGCACUUCACAGUGCUGCACCACCUAACCCAGAACUCUGCUGGGCCUGCAUGCACAGUAAGGUUGACCUUCACAUUAACAAGUUGACUGAUGAGAGACACCUUAGGUAGCCAGGAGCAUGUGCUGUCAACAGAGGUGUUAAAGGACCUCUCUGUUUUGUCUUUCAGUUCUUUCCUAAAGGCAGCAGAAAGGAAUCUCAACCCACUUAAAAUUCAUAGGUGCUGCUACUACAGAAGGUUCUGGGCUAUCUCUCGAAGUCCCAGAUGCUCUAGAAAGAUAUUGUAUACAAAGCACUCAUCCAGAAAAGCAAUGCCUUUGCUUAAUCCACACCUCCCACCUCUCAGGGCACUAUUCAUUCUGUUAAGUCAUGCAUGAGAGAGAAUGCAAGAUUCAUUAGGCCAGACAGUGGGAACACAACACGACAUGUUAGUCUUCUGUUUAAAGUCAUCUCCAACAGAGAUGGGUUCAAACUCCCACUGUGUAAGCAUGUAAUAAGUACAGUAUUAUAUAAAAGCUAAGAAUCGUUAACCCCAACCUUUGGAAAAGUCAGCGGCUGUUUUCAGAAUACCUACUCUUAUCCCACAUACAUAUGUACAAGAUUCAUUCUAACUCUUAAAUGAGCUUCAAAGAAUUAUACCUCCACUGAGCAAAAAUCCAAGCGGCCUGAAGUCAGUGAAACUAAGGAACAAAUUUCCAGGUUGUAGGGGAACUAUAACAUCACAGCCUGAACUGAUGACCAAGCACCUGGCAAAGGGGGGGGUGGCUGUCCCAGGAAGCACGGGUGCAAGUAAUUCACCUGUGCCUCCCAUGAGACAGGAGGGGCUCAUUUAAGGGCCAGCCUCUGAAGAGGGAACAUCUUCUGGAUGAAGGCUGCUUCCUGAAAAGGACUGUUCUAUAGCCAGAGACCCUAUCACCAGUCAGGCAUGAGAGUGACCUGCUCCGAUGGUAUUGCUGUUCCAGGACACGCUACGCUCCAGUGGGUUUCUUCCCUUCAGUUGAAUACAAACAUACAGCUUUCCACAAGUUUCCUGAAUGAAUGAGGGUCUACAAAAAUGCAAGGAGAAGGAUUUGGGGAGCUGCAUGCUGGGCAGCAUCACCUCGGUCCCUGAAGACCUCAUGGAGCAAGUCCUGCCGAAACCCACUUUCCAGGCAUAGAAAGAGCAAGAAGAUAACUGAGAACAGCACAAACUCACCAGGACAAGCAAUUCUGACCAGUUAGUCAUCUUCUAGAAAAAAAAAUUACUUCUCUGUGGAUGAAUUAAUAGCAGUGGAUGUUGUUUACAUUGAAACAGCUUCUGACAGCCUCCAGUGCUCUGUGUCCAAAGCUUCUUCUUUUCUCUCUCGCACGGGAGGUCAAAACUGGACACACUGCUCUACACGGGGUCUUGUAAGCAAUGAAUUACUGCUUAAACAGGGAGGAGACAUGAAUUGGACAGAGAAUGGAAAAGUGGGCUGUUGACUCAAAGAGGACUGAUAAAUGAUUUGGAGUAAAACUGACAGGUAGCAGCAAGUGAUCAGUGCUGGGACUGAUACUGCUAAACAUCUUCAGGAGGAGUGGGCUGGCAGAAGCCUCACAAUGUUUGAGGCAAAUGUUCACAAGGCAGAACUGUGAUUCUGCCAAGACAAAUUAGCACAGGCUGGAAGCCAACUGACUAGAAAGCAGCUCUGCAGAAAGACUUGAGAGUCCUGGUGGACAGCAAGAUGGUGGGUCAGCAGGAACAUGCUUAGAGCAGUGAAGGCAAAUUGCUUACCGGUCUGCCUUAUCAAGACCGUAGCCAGCAGAUCAAGUGGUUAUUCUCCUCUAUUCAUUACUUACAAGACCCCACAUAGAGCAGUGUAUCCGCUUUUGACCUUCUGUGCAAGCAAGGAAUGAAGAAGCUGGAGCAAAUCCAACAGGAAGUCAGUAAGAUGGUUGGGGAGCUGCAGCAUGGGAAAGCUAAGGAAAGUUAAGAAAGCAUAAGGAAAAGUUGAGAGAGCCGUGCUUGUUUAUCCUGGACAAGUGAAAGCUAAGGGAGGAUCUCGCAGGUGGUCUUCCACUGCCUCAAGGAGGGCUAGAGCAAGGAUGGAACAAGAACUACAGAGCAAAAGGACAAGAUGUAGUGAAUACAAGUUGCUAUGUGGAAAGUCCAGAGGCAUUAGGAAAGUUUCUUAGACUUAUUUUAUUUUACUGUGAGGGUGCUUAAAAACUGGAACAGGUUGCUCAGAGAGACUGUAGAGUCUCCGUCCUUGCAGGUGCUGUUACUUGGUUCGUCACUUGAAACUUGCCCUCUUUUGUGGAGAAGGUUGGACUUGGUGACCUCCAGAGGUCUCUCCCAACCUAAACUAUUAUCUAAUUAUCCCGUUCUAUAAUAAGCCUUCACCUGCAGACAUGACAUCCUUCUGAGAUGGAGGAAAGAUGUUGGGAGUAAAUGGGGAAGAAGCAUGAGGCUUAGAAGCUGCUCUCUGGGCUUUUGCAGAAGAUUAUUUUGGUCUUGGUUAGCUCUUGAGCCAGCUCCCCUGGUUUGCAGGGGUGUAUCGAUCUUUUAGGAGUAUCACAGGGCUCUGUUAAUGCCACAGCAGUAGCAGGGCCCAGCACACUGGACACAACUGGCACUCUGAGUUGAAUUCUGGACUUGACCAUGCUGUUGUUCUGCUAAUCUGCAGGUCUCUGUGGUUUGUUUCACCCUCUCAUUCCUUCCCUAUUUGGACUGCAAACUGUUUGUCACUAGCUGUUUUAUGUACAGCAUGCCCUGGCCUCAUAUUGGGUAUGGAUCUAAGUGCUGGGUUUUUUUUUAAAUGCCAUCUGAGAUUAACAGCGUACAAAAUACAAAGUAUUACAGCUGGAAUUUCCCUCAGACUACAUUAGUUGUGCAAUACUGAGAGAAAAUUAAAGUCUUCCAUGCUGUACUGCUCCCUGUAAGAGGCUUAAAUAAACUUGCACUGUGUAUUGAAACAUUAGCAGUAGUGACUGGAGCCUAGGAUUGAAUUAGAGUAGUCUGUGAGGAGAGAGGCUGAAGAGCCUUGUUACAGUUAAUGGAGCAAGAUGAGGGAGAAGAUCUGUAUUUGCUCAUAAGAUUCUGCUUGCCCCAAAAUAAAGACGAAGCUCUGAGACUUUACAUGGAGCUGAAAUCCUUACGCGUCUUGGAAGACUGUGUUCAUUCUGUGGUGUUAAUUCCUGCAGGGUAGUGUGAACCCAACUUCCAAUUAAGUUGAUGUAAAGUGCUUACAGGAUUUAUGAGCUAGAAUUAAGAAAAAUAACCAAUGUGGACUGCUGCCAUAGCUCUGGAGAUUCUCUUUUAGCCAACUGUACUGCCACUAAAAUUAUUCCUGGCAUAGUAUUGCGACUUGAUUUCUUUCCUUUUCCAAAGUGGAGGGAAAUGCCAGCUCACACUGUAGUCUUGUGUUUCUGGCAGCUUUUUACAAAGGCGACUGGAGAAGCUUGAAAUGAAGAGUUCAGCAAACCUGAAAAUCAUUCUCAUCUUACUGACACCUGUGAGGACAUAAAAGAGCAAACAUAAUGCCCAGUCCACAGCUGGGGCAGAUUCACUCUCUUUUGGAAAAGAAUCUCCCACAGGUGACUCUGUUAUUCCUUUCUCCUGGGUGAUGUAACAGUGGGUAUGCCUGAGAUGCAAUGUAGGUGCUUCAGUAGCAUUGGGGCUGGAACAACCCCUUGCUGGAUUUGCUCCUACAUGCAGUGGCUGCUGAGCUAGUUCUGGUGGUUGGCUGAAGGAACUGUGAUUUCCUUGUCUUUCACAGAGUGCAUAAAGCCCAGAUUUGAGACAGAUCAGGAUGAGGCGGAAGCUUUUAAAAAUACAUUGAUGUGUCAGAAUCUUUUUCUUUCUUUUUUUUUUUUGACAGAAAGGAUUCUUACCUAC